rnacentral:rRNA from 1 species
GAAGGCCCCUAGCGUUAUCCGGAUUUAUUGGGCGUAAAGGGUCUGUAGGCGGUCUAUUACAUCUUCUGUUAAAUCCCAAGGCUCAACCUUGGAACCGCGGAAGAGAUGGGUAGACUAGAGGCCGGUAGAGGUAAGCGGAAUUGUCGGUGUAGGGGUUAAAUCCGUUAAUAUCGACAGGAACACCAAAUGCGAAGGCAGCUUACUAGAACGAGCCUGACGCUGAGAGACGAAAGCGUGGGUAGCGAAUGGGAUUAGAUACCCCAGUAGUCCACGCCGUAAACGAUGGAUGCUAAGCAUUGGAAGUUUCGACCCUUCCAGUGUUGUUCACUUAASUAACGCCUUAAGCAUCCCGCCUGG